rnacentral:rRNA from 1 species
UACGUAGGGUGCAAGCGUUGUCCGGAAUUUAUUGGGCGUAAAGAGCUCGUAGGCGGUCUGUCGCGUCGGAUGUGAAAAUCCAGGGCUCAACCCUGGACCUGCAUUCGAUACGGGCAGACUAGAGUUCGGCAGGGGAGACUGGAAUUCCUGGUGUAGCGGUGAAAAUGCGCAGAUAUCAGGAGGAACACCGGUGGCGAAGGCGGGUCUCUGGGCCGAUACUGACGUGAGGAGCGAAAGCGUGGGGGAGC